GCAAACUCCAACACGUUCCCUCCAGCCCAGGCGAAAGCGUACCGGAGCAGCGAAGCACCCUCCAGCGACGUCGCUCGCUCCACAUCCGACAAGCGACGCUACUCGCUUGGAUCCAUGGACUCCUGGCAAAGAAGGGUUGGAUCCAUGGAAGAGGCCAGCGAAUGGGCGCUCCUCACGGCCUCCUACGCCGCCAACUCCGCAAUCGUCCACGCUGUCUACCGCUACCUCGUCCCCUGCAGCCAGUCCUUGUUUCGGCGGUGCGACCAGCUGACGAGCGUGGAUCCCGCCGAGGACACCACCCUCUGGACCGG